CGCUAUCAUCAUUAACUUUAUUUAUUACCGUCAUUCAGUUUUGAAUGUCUGUUUAACCUUAUUUGAACCGGAUGCCGCGCAUUCGGUUUUUUU
rnacentral:other from 1 species